rnacentral:rRNA from 1 species
UACGAAGGGGGCUAGCGUUGUUCGGAUUUACUGGGCGUAAAGGGCGCGUAGGCGGCCACCGCAAGUCGACUGUGAAAUCUCCGGGCUUAACCCGGAAAGGUCAGCCGAUACUGCGGGGCUAGAGUGCAGAAGGGGCAACUGGAAUUCUCGGUGGUAGCGGUGAAAUGCGUAGAUAUCGAGAGGAACACCUGCGGCGAAGGCGGGUUGCUGGGCUGACACUGACGCUGAGGCGCGAAAGCUAGGGGAGCGAACGGG